UACGUAGGGUGCAGGCGUUAAUCGGAAUUACUGGGCGUAAAGCGUGCGCAGGCGGUCUUUUAAGUCAGAUGUGAAAUCCCCGGGCUUAACCUGGGAACUGCGUUUGAAACUGGAAGGCUUGAGUGUGGCAGAGGGGGGUGGAAUUCCACGUGUAGCAGUGAAAUGCGUAGAUAUGUGGAGGAGCACCGAUGGCGAAGGCAGCCCCCUGGGCUAACACUGACGCUCAUGCACGAAAGCGUGGGGAGCAAACAGG
rnacentral:rRNA from 1 species